ACGCUGGCGGCAGGCCUAACACAUGCAAGUCGAGCGGUAGAGAGAAGCUUGCUUUUCUUGAGAGCGGCGGACGGGUGAGUAAUGCCUAGGAAUCUGCCUGGUAGUGGGGGAUAACGUUCGGAAACGGACGCUAAUACCGCAUACGUCCUACGGGAGAAAGCAGGGGACCUUCGGGCCUUGCGCUAUCAGAUGAGCCUAGGUCGGAUUAGCUAGUUGGUGGGGUAAUGGCUCACCAAGGCGACGAUCCGUAACUGGUCUGAGAGGAUGAUCAGUCACACUGGAACUGAGACACGGUCCAGACUCCUACGGGAGGCAGCAGUGGGGAAUAUUGGACAAUGGGCGAAAGCCCUGAUCCAGCCAUGCCGCGUGUGUGAAGAAGGUCUUCGGAUUGUAAAGCACUUUAAGUUGGGAGGAAGGGCAGUUGCCUAAUACGUAACUGUUUUGACGUUACCGACAGAAUAAGCACCGGCUAACUCUGUGCCAGCAGCCGCGGUAAUACAGAGGGUGCAAGCGUUAAUCGGAAUUACUGGGCGUAAAGCGCGCGUAGGUGGUUUGUUAAGUUGGAUGUGAAAUCCCCGGGCUCAACCUGGGAACUGCAUUCAAAACUGACUGACUAGAGUAUGGUAGAGGGUGGUGGAAUUUCCUGUGUAGCGGUGAAAUGCGUAGAUAUAGGAAGGAACACCAGUGGCGAAGGCGACCACCUGGACUGAUACUGACACUGAGGUGCGAAAGCGUGGGGAGCAAAC
rnacentral:rRNA from 1 species